AUUGAACGCUGGCGGCAGGCUUAACACAUGCAAGUCGAGCGGUAGCAUUUCUAGCUUGCUAGAAGAUGACGAGCGGCGGACGGGUGAGUAACGCGUAGGAAUCUGCCGAGUAGUGGGGGAUAGCCCAGAGAAAUUUGGAUUAAUACCGCAUACGCCCUACGGGGGAAAGGAGGGGAUCUUCGGACCUUUCGCUAUUCGAUGAGCCUGCGUGAGAUUAGCUUGUUGGUGAGGUAAAGGCUCACCAAGGCGACGAUCUCUAGCUGGUCUGAGAGGAUGAUCAGCCACACUGGGACUGAGACACGGCCCAG
rnacentral:rRNA from 1 species